rnacentral:rRNA from 1 species
UACGGGAGGCAGCAGUGGGGAAUAUUGCACAAUGGGCGCAAGCCUGAUGCAGCCAUGCCGCGUGUAUGAAGAAGGCCUUAGGGUUGUAAAGUACUUUCAUCGGGGAGGAAAAAACAAAAACUAAUAAUUUUAUUUCUUGACGUUACCCGAAAAAGAAGCACCGGCUAACUCCGUGCCAGCAGCCGCGGUAAUACGGAGGGUGCUAGCGUUAAUCAGAAUUACUGGGCGUAAAGAGCACGUAGGUGGUUUUUUUAAGUCAGAUGUGAAAUCCCUGGGCUUAACCUAGGAACUGCAUUUUGAAACUGAAAUACUAGAGUAUCGUAGAGGGAGGUAGAAUUCUAGGUGUAGCGGUGAAAUGCGUAGAUAUCUGGAGGAAUACCUGUGGCGAAAGCGGCCUCCUAAACGAAUACUGACACUGAGGGUGCGAAAGCGUGGGGAGCAAAACAGGGAUUAGAUACC